AAUAUACUGUAGUAGAAUAAAGGGGUAGGGGUCAUCAGCAAAUCUGUUGGAGCUAAUACGGCUUGCAUUCGCUUGAUAAGUAUAAUAACAUUACCUUUAACUUGAAACUGCUGUUCUUUUCCACAUUUGUCUUCCUCUUUUUCUAUACAUUUUUUGUUCAGUCUAUCUACUGAAGAUGCCCGUGGUGUUGGUGGUCUGUCUUGAGACAUUGUUGCCACUCCUUCCUGAAGAAGGAACUAGUACACUCCCACUCUUGGGUUUCAAAUGAAUAGACUGGUGUAAGGAAUAUGACGGAAACUGUCUCCCUGCAGCCCAUUCCUUUUAAAUCCAUGAGGAUUGACAAAGUUUAUACUACUGACAAGGUAGAGAAACUGAAUGGGGCUUUGGGGUGUUAAUCAUCAGUUUGGUCUCUCCUUGCAGUGCUGACCUUCCCGCCUGGAGGGGGAGAUCCUGUCCUUCAGUGUGUGGUCUGGGGGUGCUGGUUGUCUGGCUGGCUGGCAGGAUCUUGGCCAACACUGUCCCUGACCAGGUCAGCCCCAUCCACUCUGGAGCACUUUGAGAACACGGAGCUCAAAACAACAACAGCAGACAUUGUGUCUCUGCAGAUAAGACUGUUAAAGCCAGGAUUUUGUGGGAUAAGACUGGUGCAAUACUCAUGACUGCGAGACGCCCUGGAUGAUCCUUGUGGAGAGAGGAGGCCUCUGAGCUGUCCUCUCUGAAGCCCCAGCUGGAAGAGCUCGGGGUCCCUCUGUACUCCGUAGUGAAAGAGGAUAUCGGCAUAGAGAUCCAGAACUUCAGACCCUACUUCAAUGGCGAGAUCUUUGUGGAUGAGAAGGUCCGAUUAUUAUAUACAGUGCAUUCGGAAAGUAUUCAGACCCCUAAAAUUGAUUAAAUAGUGUUUUUCCCUCAAAUCUACA